CUUAAGGUAGUUUAGAGAAAACAAUGGUCUUGGAAACCGGAGACUAAGACGGAUGUCUUACCUUUUGA
rnacentral:tRNA from 1 species